ensembl:lncRNA
AAAAGGACUAGCUAUCACCUGAGUCCUGUGUGUAGGCAGUGUAUCGCUCCCUCUGUUUUAAUUUCAAUUCUGUGUUCUAUCAUAAGGAGUUUAGGACAAACUUGUACUAUUCUGUGCCUCUAAGAUUUUGGUGUGGUUGGGAGCCAGUACAACAUUCAUACAAGCUGUAGCAGUGCUAGGUAUUCCAAGUAACCACAAGGUCUUUUUUUUUUUUUUUGCAGUGCAGACUAGAAUACAGAUUGCCUUGGUCACAGUCCUUUCCAUGGACAUUCUAUAUGUCUGCCAGGUUAUAUCCUUUCACCAGUCAUAGAACCACAGAGCCAUAGAACCAUAGAAUCACAGAACCACUAAGAUUGGAAAAGACCUCCAUGAUCAUCCAGUCCAACCUUCUACCUACCACCAAUAUUUUCCCACUAAACCACGUCCCUCAAGUACAGCAUCUGAAUGUUUCUUGAGCACCUCCAAGGACAGUGACUCCAUCAUCUCCCUAAGCAUCCUGUUACCAUGCUUGACAACUCUCUUGGAGAAAAAGUAUUUCCUAACAUCCGACCUGAAUCUCAUCUGAAUCUCCCCUGGUGCAAUGUGAGGCCCUUCCCUCUAGUCCUAUCACUAGUUACAUGGGAGAAGAGGCCAACCUCCAUCUCACCACAACCUUCUUUCAAGUUGUUGUAGAGAGUGAUAAGGUCUACCCUGAGCCUCUUCUUCUCCAGACUAAAUAUUCCCAGAUCCCUCAGCCACUCCUCGUAAGACUUGCGCUCCAGACCCCUCACCAGCUUCACUGCCCUUCUCUGAACAUGCUCCAGGGCCUCAAUGUCUUUCUUGGAAUGAGGAGCCCAAAACUGAACACAGUACUCAAAGCGUGAUCUCACCAGUGCCAAGUACAGGGGAAUUAUUACUUCCCUGCUCCUGCUGGCAACACUAUUUCUGAUACAAGCUAGGAUGCCAUUGGCCACCUUGGCCACCUGGUCACACUGCUGGCUCAUGUUCAUUUGAGAGUCAAUCAAUACCCCCAGGUCCAUUUCCUCUACACAGUCUUCCAGCCACUCUGCCCCAAGCCUGUAGUGUCGCCUGAGGUUGUUGUGGCCAAAGUGCUGGACCCAGCACUUGGUCUUGUUGAACUUCAUCCCACUGGCCUCAGCCCAGCUACCCAGCCUGUCCAGAUUGCUCUAUAGGGCCUUCCUACCCCCAGGCAGAUCAACGCUUCUCCCCAGCUUGGUGUCAUCUGCAAACUUACUGAGGGUACACUCAAUGCCCUCAUCCAGGUCAUCAGUAAAGAUAUUGAAAAGGACAAGCCCCAGUACCAACCCCUUGGGAGCACCACUCAUGACUGGUCAACAGCUAGAUGUGACUCCAUUUACCACUGCACUCUGAGGCCAGCCAUCCAGCAAGGUGUGUACCUGUCCAAGACACGGGCUGUCAGGUUUCCCAGAAGAAUACUGUGAGAGACAGUGUCAAAGGCUUCACCAAAGUCUAGGUAGACCACAUUAACAGCCUUUCCCUCAUCCACCAGGCAGGUCAAUUGAUCAUAGAAGGAGUUCAGGUUGGUCAAGCAGGACCUGCCUUUCAUGAAUCCAUGCUGGCUAGGCCUGAUCCCCCUAGUUGUCCUGCACAUGCCAUGUGAUCUCCCUCAAGACGAUCUACUCCAUAACCUUCCCUGGCACCAAGGUCAGGCUGACAGGCCUGUAGUUCCCCGGAUCUUCUUUACAACCCUUCUUGUAGAUGGGAGUCAUGCUGGCAAGACUCCAAUCCUCUGGGACCAGGAAUGCUGACAGAUGGUGGAAAGUGGCUUGGCAAUCACCUCUGCCAGCUCCCUCAGCACCCUCAGGUGGAUCCCUUCCAGCCCCCAUGGACUUGUGGCAGUCCA